UGUGGUUUGCCGUUGUCUGUGC
rnacentral:miRNA from 1 species